GUCCACGUUGCGGCGGACCAGGCAAACGCUCCUGCCAGGACGAGCGUUGCGAUCGGCCAGACCUUCGUCGUCAUGGCGAGGAGGCCGAUCGC
rnacentral:sRNA from 1 species